AAGUUUUCCUUCACAUUCCCCCACAGGCUCUCGUUAACUAAGUUUGUCGAUUCUUAAGUACCCGAUCAACGUUACGGUACAUGUUGUUAUCAUCUUUGUGCGAGGUUUGCAUUAUAUCUAGGGCCGCAUAGAAACUUGGACUAAAAGACUGAAACCAUUGAAAGGGUGUGAAGUUAAGUUUUUAAAUUCUUUUUACGCGUGUUUGCGGUAUAGUUAAAAAAAAAAACAACAUGGCGGAUAAUUAGCAUAAACACUUGACACAUUGAAAUUCAAAGCUGUAGGAAGGUAACGUGGUGAGUGGCGGGAUUAAAAAUUGUGUUACGGGCGUUGCAGGCUUCUCUUUCAAGCGUGACCUGAUCAGGACACACGUUAGCAGGGAGACACCAAAACAUGGAGACACGGAUGGUUCUGUUGCUGUUGUGGUCGCUGGUGGUGAUGGUGUCGGCGCAGAUGUCGGUUGACAUGAAUACAACGUUGGGGACGGUAUCUGGCAUGUUGGUACCCCCAGGGUCAGGUGAAAGUGUCACGCUGAAAGUGUUUUAUGGAAUUCCUUUCGCAGAACCUCCUAUCGGGGAUCUCCGU